GAUGAACGCUGGCGGCGUGCCUAAUACAUGCAAGUCGAGCGAACAGACGAGGAGCUUGCUCCUCUGACGUUAGCGGCGGACGGGUGAGUAACACGUGGAUAACCUACCUAUAAGACUGGGAUAACUUCGGGAAACCGGAGCUAAUACCGGAUAAUAUAUUGAACCGCAUGGUUCAAUAGUGAAAGACGGUUUUGCUGUCACUUAUAGAUGGAUCCGCGCCGCAUUAGCUAGUUGGUAAGGUAACGGCUUACCAAGGCGACGAUGCGUAGCCGACCUGAGAGGGUGAUCGGCCACACUGGAACUGAGACACGGUCCAGACUCCUACGGGAGGCAGCAGUAGGGAAUCUUCCGCAAUGGGCGAAAGCCUGACGGAGCAACGCCGCGUGAGUGAUGAAGGUCUGCGGAUCGUAAAACUCUGUAUUAGGGAAGAACAAAUGUGUAAGUAACUAUGCACGUCUUGACGGUACCUAAUCAGAAAGCCACGGCUAACUACGUG
rnacentral:rRNA from 1 species